rnacentral:rRNA from 1 species
AUGCAAGUCGAACGGGAUUCCCUGCAGUAGCAAUAUUGUGGGGAUGAGAGUGGCGGAAGGGUGAGUAACGCGUGGGUAACCUACCUCCAAGACCGGGAUAACCCCGCGAAAGUGGAGCUAAUACCGGAUGUGGUCGCUGGCGGCAUCGCUUGGCGAUUGAAGGUGGGGAUCCGAAAGGACCUGCCGCUUGGAGAGGGGCCCGCGUCCUAUCAGCUUGUUGGUGGGGUAAUGGCUCACCAAGGCUAUGACGGGUAGCUGGUCUGAGAGGAUGGUCAGCCACACUGGGACUGAGACACUGCCCAGACUCCUACGGGAGGCUGCAGUCGAGGAUCAUUGGCAAUGCGCGAAAGCGUGACCAUGCGACGCUGCGUGGAGGAUGAAGGCCUUCGGGUUGUAAACUCCUGUCAUGAGGGAAAAGACAUUCCGGCACUAAUACUGCCGGAACGCGAUGGUACCUCAAGAGGAAGCCACGGCCAACUCUGUGCCAGCAGCCGCGGUAAUACAGAGGUGGCGAGCGUUGUUCGGAUUUACUGGGCGUAAAGGGCGCGUAGGUGGUUCCGUAUGUCGGAUGUGAAAUCCCACGGCUCAACCGUGGAACUGCGUCCGAAACUACGGUGCUAGAGUGCAGGAGAGGAGAGCGGAAUUCUUGGUGUAGCGGUGAAAUGCAUUGAUAUCAAGAAGAACACCGGUGGCGAAGGCGGCUCUCUGGAAUGCAACUGACACUGAGGCGCGAAAGCUGGGGGAGCAAACAGGAUUAGAUACCCUGGUAGUCCCAGCCCUAAACGGUGUGCACUUGGUGUUGGAGGUAUUGACCCCUCCAGUGCCGAAGCUAACGCAUUAAGUGCACCGCCUGGGGAGUACGGCCGCAAGGUUGAAACUCAAAGAAAUUGACGGGGGCCCGCACAAGCGGAGGAGCAUGUGGCUUAAUUCGAUGCAACGCGAAGAACCUUACCAGGGCUUGACAUGCGGCUGCAAAUCCCCCGAAAGGGGGACGCCUUCGAGGGUGCCGCACAGGUGCUGCAUGGCUGUCGUCAGUUCGUGCCGUGAGGUGUUGGGUUAAGUCCCGCAACGAACGCAACCCCUGUGUUUAGUUGCCACCCCCGAUGAUGAGUCGGGGAGCACUCUAAACAGACUGCCCGUACAAGCGGGAGGAAGGUGGGGAUGACGUCAAGUCAGCAUGGCCCUUAUGUCCUGGGCUGCACACGUGCUACAAUGGCCGGUACAGAGGGUUGCAAGACCGCAAGGUGGAGCUAAUCCCCAAAAACCGGCCCCAGUUCGGAUUGAAGUCUGCAACUCGACUUCAUGAAGCCGGAUUCGCUAGUAAUGGCGCAUCAGCUACGGCGCCGUGAAUACGUUCCCGGGCCUUGUACACACCGCCCGUCACACCACGAAAGCCGUCUGCACCCGAAGUCGCUGAUCCAACCCGCAAGGGAGGUAG